AAAAAUAAUAAAUGAUUGUUUUCAGUUGUUUGCAAACUGCUUCAAGUAUCACAGAUUCAAGAUGGAAAGAAAUGGAAUACCGAUGGAGUCUGAAAUGGAAGAAACAAGAAAAGGGCAAGAUACGAAAGAGAUGCUGAUAAUUGAAGAGCCAAGUUACCUGCAGGAGUCAGAUCAUUCAGAGACUGAGAAAAAAAUUAGAAAUGAUUCAUUUAUGUUGGCAUCAAAGAAUAGCAAAAAUGAAAUUGAUGAUAAUCUGGAUGAAACUAUACAGGGUAGAACUGCUUUGUCUGAGAGCUCUUCAUUGGUGAAUACAUCACUGGGACAAGAAGCUGAAAUAAAGCAAGCGGAGUUAACAAAUGUAUGURUACUAGAAGCUGGCAACUUAACUUCACAGCAGAAUGGCAUUCUUUCACAGAAAUAUUAAAAAACACA
rnacentral:lncRNA from 1 species